UUUCAUGCAAUUGAGUUUCUAAGUAUCUUUUUAUUUUUGGAAGUUUAUUCUCUUUAAGUGUAAGGCCAUUGGCCAUUGGCCAUUGUUUAUUUUCAAUUUAAUGAAGAAUAUUGAAAACAAGAAUAAACCCCCAACCCCUCACGGUUCUCUCUCUCUCUCAUUCUCUCAUCUUUCUCUCUCGCCUCUUUCCUCCCUUACUCUCUCGGCUCUCUCUUCUCUCAAUCUUCUUGUCUCGCCUCCCUCUCUUUCUUUUCAGUCUCAUCUCUUUUUUUUUCUGCUGCUGUGUUGUUACUACUGCACCUGCUACCUUACCUCACUGCUGCUGCAACACAUUACUGGCGUUACAAAAUUGUUGUUGCUGCACCUGCUGCCUUACCUCACUGCUGCUGCAACAUAUUCCUGCUGUUAAAAAAAUUGCUGCUGCAACAUAUUUCUGCCGGUACAAAAUUGCUCUGCUGCACACUGCUGCCUUUACACCACUGCUGCUACUCUCUCUACAAUUGGCUGGAUGUAUCUUCUUCAACAAAAAGUGGACUACAACCUCUUUAUUUUGGAGAACCUGGAUUUCUUCUUCUCUCCUCAGAUCUGAAUAGCAGUAUGACCUCGCAGCUAAUGUUCCAAAGUCUGAUAAUGGUUUGGCCACCCGAUCCAACAGCUGGAAACAUAAGGAACAUCUUUGAUCUCCAAAUAUCAAGACCAGCAUUACAGAAUGAUCCUUGAAACCAACCAUCUCAGCUAUGAUCACAUUCACUGAUGGUAUUGACUAUUCGAGCUUCUUUUAUUUAUUUAUUUAUUUUCCCCAUUACCCUUGUGGCUGCCAGCUGCUUCGCUUUCUGCCACAUGACUAUCUUUUUUUCUUUGCUAGUCCCAGAUUUGCAGCAAUAUUUUCCCUAUCAGCAUCUAAUCAUGGGUAGAAUAUGAUCCAAUCUGACAAUGCAACAAAUGAAAAUAAUACUUUGAAUGUUA